GUGAGGAGUAAGGGGGUGACUAGUGACAGAGUGAGGGAGGUGGGGGGUCACUAGGGACAGAGUGAGGGACUAGUCACCCCCUUCCCUCCCUCUGUCACUAGUCACCCCUUCCUUCCCUUAUUCUGUCACUAGUCACCCCUUCCCUCCCUCUGUCAUUAGUCACCCCUUCCCUCCCUCUAUCACUAGUCACUACCUUCCUCUGUCACUAGUCACCCCUUCCCUCACUCUGUCAC